UACAGAGGGUGCGAGCGUUGUCCGGAAUCACUGGGCGUAAAGGGCGCGUAGGUGGCGAGCCAAGUCCAUGGUGAAAGCUCGAUGCUCAACAUCGAGUCGGCCACGGGAUACUGGUGCGCUUGAGCACUGUAGAGGCUAAUGGAAUUCCCGGUGUAGUGGUGAAAUGCGUAGAGAUCGGGAGGAACACCUGUGGCGAAGGCGGCCAACUGGCCCGACCCUGACGCUGAGGCGGCGAAAGGCGU
rnacentral:rRNA from 1 species